AAAGAAUAUAAGAAUGAAAAAAUAUUUAUAAGCCUUUACUAAUCAAAUCAAAUAAAUUUAAUUGGUGAAAAAUUUUGGACGGGAACUCUAAAAAUAGAUCGAAGCCUAUUAUUAUUUUUUCUAACAAAGACUGUAUAACCACCUUUUGCUAAGGCAGAGUUUGGAUAAUUUUUUACGGUUUCAAAUAUUAUAAUGGGAGCCUUGUAUGACGCUAUAUACUGGCACAAACUUAAAGAU
rnacentral:misc_RNA from 1 species